UCUCCACCUUGCAGUCUGUAGGCAUUGCAGUCACACUGUGUGCAUCUUGAGGAACACUCACAGAUCUGUAAUUCCUACAGAUAUCAAAGAUACUCUGCUGAACAUGGGAUUUGCAGCACUUGUCCAGGGGGAAACCUUACACAGCCACAGCAACAGAAGGUUAAGUUAUUUAGCAGUAGUUACAACGCUGUCUCCUCCUUUUUUCCUGCUGCCAUUAAAGUCAGCUGUGUACUCUGAUUAAGAUGUGGAAGCAGUUGAUUAGUCUGAAGAUCAGCAAGCUUGUUUAGCUUCUGUUCAUUGUCACAGGAAGGCAAUCACACCUCUCCCCUUCCCCUCUGCACCCCAAAGCAGUUCAUGCCAGGGCCAGCAGCAGAGACUGAGAGCCUCUUUCAGGAAGCAGUGUCAGUGGGUUUGGCUUCCCAGGGAACCAUUGAUAAUUGCUCUCAAGAUAUGGAUUUCAACCAGCUUUGCAGCCACUGUAUUGUAUUUUCAUCAGCAUCCAGUGGGAUAUUGCAUUGGAAAUCAGGAACAUGUGAU